GACGAACGCUGGCGGCGUGCCUAACACAUGCAAGUCGAACGGAAAGGCCCUGCUUUUGUGGGGUUCCCGAGUGGCGAACGGGUGAGUAACACGUGAGUAACCUGCCCUUGAUUUUGGGAUAACUUCAGGAAACUGGGGCUAAUACCGUAUAGGAGCCCCCGCUGCAUGGUGGGGGUUGGAAAGUUUCGGCGGUUGGGGAUGGAUUCGCGGCUUAUCAGCUUGUUGGUGGGGUAGUGGCUUACCAAGGCAUUGACGGGUAGGCGGCAUGUGAGGGUGGCCAGCCACAAUAGGACUGAGGUACGGAGCAGACUGCUACGGGGGGCAGUAGGCGGGAAUAUUGCACAAUGAGCGGGAGCCUGAUGCAGCAACGCCGCGUGCGGGAUGACGGCCUUCGGGGUGUGAACCGCUUUCGCCUGUGACGAAGCGGGAGUGACGGUAAUGGGUAAAGAAGCACCGGCUAACUACGUG
rnacentral:rRNA from 1 species